GGCCUACGGGGGGCAGCAGUAGGGAAUCUUCCACAAUGGGCGAAAGCCUGAUGGAGCAACGCCGCGUGGGUGAAGAAGGUCUUCGGAUCGUAAAACCCUGUUGUUAGAGAAGAAAGUGCGUGAGAGUAACUGUUCACGUUUCGACGGUAUCUAACCAGAAAGCCACGGCUAACUACGUGCCAGCAGCCGCGGUAAUACGUAGGUGGCAAGCGUUAUCCGGAUUUAUCGGGCGUAAAGGGAACGCAGGCGGUCUUUUAAGUCUGAAGUGAAAGGCGGGGGCCCAACCCCCGGAC
rnacentral:rRNA from 1 species